ACUCCUACGGGAGGCAGCAGUGGGGAAUAUUGCACAAUGGGCGCAAGCCUGAUGCAGCCAUGCCGCGUGUAUGAAGAAGGCCUUCGGGUUGUAAAGUACUUUCAGCAGUGAGGAAGGUGAUAUGUUAUAGUACAUAUUCAUUUGAUCGUUUAGCUUGCAGAAGAAGACACCGGCUAACUCCGUGCCAGCAGCCGCGGUAAUACGGAGGGUGCGAGCGUUAAUCGGAAUUACUGGGCGUAAAGCGCAUGCAGGUGGUUUGUUAAGUCAGAUGUGAAAGCCCGGGGCUCAACCUCGGAAUUGCAUUUGAAACUGGCAAACUAGAGUACUGUAGAGGGGGGUGAGAAUUUCAGGUGUAGCGGUGAAAUGCGUAGAGAUCUGAAGGAAUACCGGUGGCGAAGGCGGCCCCCUGGACAGAUACUGACACUCAGAUGCGAAAGCGUGGGGAGC
rnacentral:rRNA from 1 species